UCUUCGUUUUUUAUACGUUCAUAAACUCGAAGGGCCAUAUCGGUCAAAAAUGGAGGCUGGGAGCGAAGAAGAUAAUAAGUGCGGUUGGCAUUCAAGAUCUUACCGUAAUAGGUAAUUUCAAAAAUAAAAUUCUCCACCAUACCUUUCGCCAAGUCAACCCGAUCGUCAACAAGCAAACCCAGUGAUUCAAAGUAAGAGUCCCAGCCGU